rnacentral:rRNA from 1 species
CAGCUAGUUGGUAAGGUAAUGGCUUACCAAGGCGACGAUCAGUAGCUGGUCUGAGAGGAUGACCAGCCACAUUGGGACUGAGACACGGCCCAAACUCCUACGGGAGGCAGCAGUGGGGAAUCUUGCGCAAUGGGCGAAAGCCUGGCGCAGCCAUGCCGCGUGAAUGAUGAAGGUCUUAGGAUUGUAAAAUUCUUUCACCGGGGACGAUAAUGACGGUACCCGGAGAAGAAGCCCCGGCUAACUUCGUGCCAGCAGCCGCGGUAAUACGAAGGGGGCUAGCGUUGCUCGGAAUUACUGGGCGUAAAGGGCGCGUAGGCGGACAUUUAAGUCAGGGGUGAAAUCCCAGAGCUCAACUCUGGAACUGCCUUUGAUACUGGGUGUCUUGAGUGUGAGAGAGGUAUGUGGAACUCCGAGUGUAGAGGUGAAAUUCGUAGAUAUUCGGAAGAACACCAGUGGCGAAGGCGACAUACUGGCUCAUUACUGACGCUGAGGCGCGAAAGCGUGGGGAGCAAACAGGAUUAGAUACCCUGGUAGUCCACGCCGUAAACGAUGAUUGCUAGUUGUCGGGCUGCAUGCAGUUCGGUGACGCAGCUAACGCAUUAAGCAAUCCGCCUGGGGAGUACGGUCGCAAGAUUAAAACUCAAAGGAAUUGACGGA